rnacentral:rRNA from 1 species
GACGAACGCUGGCGGCGCGCUUAACACAUGCAAGUCGAACGGAAAGGCCCGCUUUCCCUUGUGGAUUGCGGGUACUCGAGUGGCGAACGGGUGAGUAACACGUGAGGGAUCUGCCCCCAACUUGGGUAUAAGCCUGGGAAACUGGGUCUAAUUCCCGAUAGGACUGCAGGGUGGAGGCUGUGGUGGGAAACGAUUUUCUAGUGGUGGGGGAUGAGCUCGAGGCCUAUCAGCUUGUUGGUGGGGUAAUGGCCUACCAAGGCGGCGACGGGUAGCCGGCCGGGGAGAGCGGACGGCGACAUUGGGACUGGGACACGGCCCAGACUCCUGCGAGAGGCAGCAGUGGGGAAUAUUGGGCAGUAGGCGGAAGCCUGAUGCAGCGACGGCGCGUGGGAGAUGACGGCGUUCGGGUUGUAAGCUCCUUUCGACCGCGAGGAAGCCACCUGGUUGGAAGGGUGGUGACGGUAGUGGUAGAAGAAGCACCGGCUAACUACGUG